GGCCUGGCUGGCCGGUCCGCCUCACCGCGUGCACUGGUCCGGCCGGGCCUUUCCUUCUGGCUAGCCGCAUGCUCUUCACUGAGUGUGUCGGGGAACCAGGACUUUUACUUUGAAAAAAUUAGAGUGUUCAAAGCGGGCGCAUGCUCGAAUAGAUUAGCAUGGAAUAAUGGAAUAGGACCU
rnacentral:rRNA from 1 species